rnacentral:rRNA from 1 species
AGGUAGACCGUAAGGACUGCUGGAGCGCUUAGAAGUGAGAAUGCCGGUGUGAGUAACGAAAAUUGGGUGAGAAUCCCAUUCACCGUUUGACUAAGGGUUCCUGGGUAAAGUUCGUCUUCCCAGGGUAAGUCAGGACCUAAGAUGAGGCUGAAAAGCGUAGUCGAUGGACAACAGGUUGAUAUUCCUGUACCACCUAUAUGACUGAAGGAGUGACGGAGAAAGCUAGUGAGAGCCAGUUAAUGGAUUCUGGUCUAAGUGCGUAGGCUAGUAUGUUGGCAAAUCCGCAAUACUAUAACAGCUGAAACAUGAUGGGGAAGAGAGUCUUCGGACAAUCGAACUUUCAUGAUGCUAUGCUUCCAAGAAAAGCUUCUAGGGUUAAUCGUAUAGGUGCCUGUACCGACAACCGACACAGGUGGUCAAGGAGAGUAUCCUAAGGUGAGCGAGAGAACUAUGGUUAAGGAACUCGGCAAAAUGACCCCGUAACUUCGGGAGAAGGGGUGGUCUAGCGAUAGACCCGCAGUGAAUAGGCCCAGGCAACUGUUUACCAAAAACACAGGUCUCUGCUAACACGUAAGUGGAUGUAUAGGGGCUGACGCCUGCCCAGUGCUGGAAGGUUAAAGAGAUUAGUUAGUAUGACGUAAGUCGAUAAUACGAAGCUUUGAACUGAAGCCCCAGUGAACGGCGGCCGUAACUAUAACGGUCCUAAGGUAGCGAAAUUCCUUGUCAGGUAAGUUCUGACCCGCACGAAAGGCGUAAUGAUUUGGGCACUGUCUCAACAGCCCGCCCGGCGAAAUUGUAGUACCGGUGAAGAUGCCGGUUACCCGCAACUAGACGGAAAGACCCCAUGGAGCUUUACUGCAGCUUAAUACUGGAAAUCGGUAAUUCAUGUACAGGAUAGGUGGGAGACGGAGAAGCAUGGUCGUCAGGUCAUGUGGAGUCGCCCUUGGGAUACCACUCUUGGAUUGCUGGUUUUCUAACCUGCGGCCGUGAAUCCGGUCGGGGGACACUGUUAGGCGGGCAGUUUGACUGGGGCGGUCGCCUCCGAAAAGGUAACGGAGGCGCUCAAAGGUUGGCUCAGCACGGACGGAAACCGUGCCUCUGAGUGUAAACGCAAAAGCCAGCCUAACUGCGAGGAUGACGGUCCGAGCAGUAACGAAAGUUGGAGUUAGUGAUCCGGCGGUAUGUGAAUGGAAAUGCCGUCGCUCAACGGAUAAAAGCUACCCUGGGGAUAACAGGCUGAUCUCCCCCAAGAGUCCACAUCGACGGGGAGGUUUGGCACCUCGAUGUCGGCUCAUCACAUCCUGGGGCUGUAUUCGGUCCCAAGGGUUCGGCUGUUCGCCGAUUAAAGUGGUACGCGAGCUGGGUUCAGAACGUCGCGAGACAGUUCGGUCCCUAUCUGUCGUGGGCGCAGGAUAUUUGAGGAGCUCUGUCCUUAGUACGAGAGGACCGGGAUGGACGUACCUCUGGUGCACCAGUUGUCAUGCCAAUGGCACGGCUGGGCAGCUACGUACGGAACGGAUAAACGCUGAAAGCAUCUAAGCGUGAAGCCGACUCCAAGAUUAGAUAUCCCAUUGCAUAAGCAAGUAAGACCCCUUGAGGACUACGAGGUUGAUAGGCUGCGUGUGUAAGUGUCGUGAGGCAUUUAGCUUGGCAGUACUAAUAGGUCGAGGGCUUGACCAC